AUAACGGCGUCGAGCGGCGGACGGGUGAGUAAUGCCUAGGAAAUUGCCCUGAUGUGGGGGAUAACCAUUGGAAACGAUGGCUAAUACCGCAUGAUGCCUACGGGCCAAAGAGGGGGACCUUCGGGCCUCUCGCGUCAGGAUAUGCCUAGGUGGGAUUAGCUAGUUGGUGAGGUAAGGGCUCACCAAGGCGACGAUCCCUAGCUGGUCUGAGAGGAUGAUCAGCCACACUGGAACUGAGACACGGUCCAGACUCCUACGGGAGGCAGCAGUGGGGAAUAUUGCACAAUGGGCGCAAGCCUGAUGCAGCCAUGCCGCGUGUGUGAAGAAGGCCUUCGGGUUGUAAAGCACUUUCAGUCGUGAGGAAGGCGGUGUAGUUAAUAGCUGCAUUAUUUGACGUUAGCGACAGAAGAAGCACCGGCUAACUCCGUGCCAGCAGCCGCGGUAAUACGGAGGGUGCGAGCGUUAAUCGGAAUUACUGGGCGUAAAGCGCAUGCAGGUGGUUUGUUAAGUCAGAUGUGAAAGCCCGGGGCUCAACCUCGGAAUUGCAUUUGAAACUGGCAGACUAGAGUACUGUAGAGGGGGGUAGAAUUUCAGGUGUAGCGGUGAAAUGCGUAGAGAUCUGAAGGAAUACCGGUGGCGAAGGCGGCCCCCUGGACAGAUACUGACACUCAGAUGCGAAAGCGUGGGGAGCAAACAGGAUUAGAUACCCUGGUAGUCCACGCCGUAAACGAUGUCUACUUGGAGGUUGUGGCCUUGAGCCGUGGCUUUCGGAGCUAACGCGUUAAGUAGACCGCCUGGGGAGUACGGUCGCAAGAUUAAAACUCAAAUGAAUUGACGGGGGCCCGCACAAGCGGUGGAGCAUGUGGUUUAAUUCGAUGCAACGCGAAGAACCUUACCUACUCUUGACAUCCAGAGAACUUUCCAGAGAUGGAUUGGUGCCUUCGGGAACUCUGAGACAGGUGCUGCAUGGCUGUCGUCAGCUCGUGUUGUGAAAUGUUGGGUUAAGUCCCGCAACGAGCGCAACCCUUAUCCUUGUUUGCCAGCGAGUAAUGUCGGGAACUCCAGGGAGACUGCCGGUGAUAAACCGGAGGAAGGUGGGGACGACGUCAAGUCAUCAUGGCCCUUACGAGUAGGGCUACACACGUGCUACAAUGGCGCAUACAGAGGGCAGCCAACUUGCGAAAGUGAGCGAAUCCCAAAAAGUGCGUCGUAGUCCGGAUUGGAGUCUGCAACUCGACUCCAUGAAGUCGGAAUCGCUAGUAAUCGUGGAUCAGAAUGCCACGGUGAAUACGUUCCCGGGCCUUGUACACACCGCCCGUCACACCAUGGGAGUGGGCUGCAAAAGAAGUAGGUAGUUUAACCUUCGGGGGG
rnacentral:rRNA from 1 species